rnacentral:rRNA from 1 species
AUUGAACGCUGGCGGCAUGCUUUACACAUGCAAGUCGAACGGCAGCACGGGGGCAACCCUGGUGGCGAGUGGCGAACGGGUGAGUAAUGCAUCGGAACGCGUCCUGUAAUGGGGGAUAACCUACCGAAAGGUAGGCUAAUACCGCAUACGUCCUGAGGGAGAAAGCGGGGGAUCGUAAGACCUCGUGUUAUAGGAGCGGCCGAUGUCGGAUUAGCUAGUUGGUGGGGUAAAGGCCUACCAAGGCUUCGAUCCGUAGCUGGUCUGAGAGGACGACCAGCCACACUGGGACUGAGACACGGCCCAGACUCCUACGGGAGGCAGCAGUGGGGAAUUUUGGACAAUGGGGGCAACCCUGAUCCAGCCAUGCCGCGUGAGUGAAGAAGGCCUUCGGGUUGUAAAGCUCUUUCGGCCGGGAAGAAAUCGUGCGGGCCAAUACCCUGCAUGGAUGACGGUACCGGAAGAAGAAGCACCGGCUAACUACGUG